UACGUAGGGUGCAAGCGUUAAUCGGAAUUACUGGGCGUAAAGCGUGCGCAGGCGGUUGUGCAAGACAGGUGUGAAAUCCCCGGGCUUAACCUGGGAACUGCGCUUGUGACUGCACGGCUGGAGUACGGCAGAGGGGGAUGGAAUUCCGCGUGUAGCAGUGAAAUGCGUAGAUAUGCGGAGGAACACCGAUGGCGAAGGCAGUCCCCUGGGCCUGUACUGACGCUCAUGCACGAAAGCGUGGGGAGCAAACAGG
rnacentral:rRNA from 1 species